GCAGCUGAGAAGGUGAAAGACACCACACCGCUCCUCGGGUGGUUCCCUGUCAGUAUUGACAGCACCGCCACCAGCACCGCCGGCCUCAGGAGCAAGCCCACCACCAGCGGGCGUUGACGGAGGCGGGUGUGCGGCUCUGGCGCAGCUGAGCCGUCGACCGCCG